GCAUUAAUGGGGUAGUGGUAACCUGGGUCGUUGCCAUCGGGAGUUUGUAACGUAUAUCUCGACCCGCCGGGGGUUCGAUUCCCCCUUAAUGCA